rnacentral:misc_RNA from 1 species
UCCGGUUUGUCACCGGCAGUCCCAUUAGAGUGCUCAACUGAAUGUAGCAACUAAUGGCAAGGGUUGCGCUCGUUGCGGGACUUAACCCAACAUCUCACGACACGAGCUGACGACAGCCGUGCAGCACCUGUGUUGCGGUUCCCUUUCGGGCACACCCCCAUCUCUGGAAACCGUCCUGCCAUGUCAAGGGCUGGUAAGGUUCUUCGCGUUGCUUCGAAUUAAACCACAUGCUCCACCGCUUGUGCGGGCCCCCGUCAAUUCCUUUGAGUUUCAGCCUUGCGGCCGUACUCCCCAGGCGGGACACUUAUUGCGUUAGCGACGGCACCGGGAGGGUCGCUCCCCCCGACGCCUAGUGUCCAUCGUUUACGGCGUGGACUAC